AUCUUGACCAGUUAGAAUUAUCACUGGGUGUCAAAAAGAUAAAAUUUAAUAAAAUUAAAAGUAAACUCCUAUAAUUGGGUCCAGAAAAUUGGUUGCAUAGUAUAGGAUAUGGGAGCAAUGCUUCAAUAGUAGCUUAAAUGAAAAGAAUCUGGGGUCUUUAGUGGACUGUAAGCACAUUAUGAGUUAAUAGAUGACAUAGCAGCCAAAAAAACCCUCUUGUAAUCUCAGGCAACAUUAAGAGAAGUCCAACAUCCAGAACAAGGGAGAUGAUUGUUCCUCUCUAAUCUCCAGGUGAAACCACAUUUGGCUUAUUGUCUUCUAUUCUGACAAGCUGGAAAGUGUGCAGAGGAGAGCAACUAAAGUGAUCUCUACAUUCUAAUCCAUCCUCCAUAAAACUUCCAAAGUGAGCUUCAUAAAAUGCAGUUCUGACCAGGUCUCUUCCAAAGAAAGGAAAGGAAAAGGACCUUAAUGACCAACCAACACCUGAAAAAGUCUCUACUACAACAUAAGGAACAAAUGGAAAAAUGGACAUCCAGCCUCUAUUUGAAGGCUACUCUAUGGAGUCAAAGAGUCUGGAGCUGCAACGGACCUUAGACAUCAUCUAGUUUAUUCUUCUUCAAUUUACAGAGGAGGACACUGAGGCCCAGAGAGACAUACUCAUUUGCCUAAGGUCACAAAGAAAGCAACAAAUAACACUGUCAGGAUUUGAGCACAGGUCAAUUGAAAUACUUAAAAGUAAGCUAUUUGUUUAGUUUAUAACAGUAACUGACCUCUGACCUCUCUAACCAUUUUUCUUUCUUCUCUUCUUUGCUUCCCCCUCCUCUAGUUCCCAUUGGGUGCCUCAUUGUAGCUUGGGUGUGACACUGACUUCUUGGGGUCAGUAUGAUAGCAAUAUGUAGCUAAAUGUCUAAAUGGCCCCUCCAAGGUGGAAAGGAUUUGAUCAUGGAUCCACUCAUGGACUAUGAGUCCUUUAGGAGAAGAACAGUCUAAGUUUGGAGAGAAUAACUCCUGGAAGCUGCAGUGCCCAAAGGCAAGUCUCCAGGCCUUAGUUUCUCCACCAGGGAAGUGGCCAGUGAUGCCCCUCAGCCCAAAAACACAGGUAGCGGAAGUUGUGUGGUGUUUCUGAAGCCAUUUGCGUUCCUCUGGUGAGUUAGUUCUGUCACCUGCUGGAUGUUCCGGGGAGUCUUGGUAGAUGGCCUUCCCUUCAUAAAGCAGGAGCAGAAAUCAUGAAGCUGAGUGUUCGGGCUCACAAGACAGAACAAUCUUCAAA
rnacentral:lncRNA from 1 species